GUAGGUGUAGUUUUAACAAAAACAUUAGAUUGUGGUUCUAAAAAUAGGGGUUAAAGCCCCCUCACCCACC
rnacentral:tRNA from 1 species